rnacentral:rRNA from 1 species
UACGAAGGGUGCAAGCGUUAAUCGGAAUUACUGGGCGUAAAGCGCACGUAGGCGGAUACUUAAGUUAGGGGUGAAAUCCCAGGGCUCAACCCUGGAACUGCCUUUAAUACUGGGUAUCUUGAGUUCGAGAGAGGUGAGUGGAAUUCCGAGUGUAGAGGUGAAAUUCGUAGAUAUUCGGAGGAACACCAGUGGCGAAGGCGGCUCACUGGCUCGAUACUGACGCUGAGGUGCGAAAGCGUGGGGAGCAAACAGG